CCCUACGGGGCGCAGCAGGCGCGAAACCUCCGCAAUGUGAGAAAUCGCGACGGGGGGAUCCCAAGUGCCAUUCUUAACGGGAUGGCUUUUCUUAAGUGUAAAAAGCUUUUGGAAUAAGAGCUGGGCAAGACCGGUGCCAGCCGCCGCGGUAACACCGGCAGCUCUAGUGGUAGCUGUUUUUAUGGCCUAAAGCGUCGUAGC
rnacentral:rRNA from 1 species